ensembl:lncRNA novel transcript
GGGACUGAGUUCUCUAGUAACUGAUGGGAAACAGAGCAAAGUAGGGACUUUAAAAAAUACUGUAACGGUUAAUAUUGAGUGUCAACUUGAUUGGAUUGAAGGAUGCAAAGUAUUGUUCCUGGGUGUGUCUGUGAGGGUGUUGCCAAAGGAGAUUAACAUUCCAGUCAGUGGACUGGGAAAGGCAGACCCACCCUCAAUCUGGGUGGGCACCAUCUAAUCAGCUGCCAGUGUGGCCAGAAUAAAGCAGGAAAAUGUGGAAGGACUUGACUUGCUGAGUCUUCUGGUCUUCAGCUUUCUCCCAUGCUGGAUGCUUCCUGCCUUAGAGCAUUGGACUCCAGGUCUUCAGCUUUUGGACUCUCGGACUUACACCAGUGGUUUGCCAGGGGCUCUCAGGCCUUUGGACACAGACUGAAGGCUGCACUGUCGGCUUCCCUACUUUUGAGGUUUUGGGCUUCCCUACUCCUCAGCUUGCAGAUGGCCUAUUGUGGAACUUUACCCUGUGAUCAUAACUCUUUUUGCCCAACAGAAUGUGGACAGCAGAACUGCUUUAUAAAUUGGGAGGAAGGCACACCUGGAAGAUGGUGAUGCCAGCACAAUGGGAAAUGUGCCAGUGUGUAGAAUUCUUCUCUGGUCUUUGUAAAUAGAAAUGCUCACUUUCUAUGUGAAACACCUAAAUGAUUCGAUGCCAAACGCAGAAUAAGUUUAAAGGUAGAACAAGCAAAUAGCUAAACAAGGGAGUGUUUCAGAAAGGAAAUAUGUCAAGCCUUGGCUCAAAAGCAAAACAGUCUUUUCAUGAAGGGAAGUGUUCACAGCAUCUAUUAAAUGCAUACUCAGUCACAAAAAUAAAACCCAUCUGUUUAAUAUUAACAUUUGUAAUAAACAUUUUAAAAAAAGGAAUGUAGAAGGCAAAAAUGUAUUGUAAAACAAAA